AGAGUUUGAUCCUGGCUCAGAUUGAACGCUGGCGGCAUGCCUUACACAUGCAAGUCGAACGGUAACAGGGAGCUUGCUCCGCUGACGAGUGGCGAACGGGUGAGUAAUGUAUCGGAACGUACCUUUCAGUGGGGGAUAACGUAGCGAAAGUUACGCUAAUACCGCAUAUUCUGUGAGCAGGAAAGCAGGGGAUCGCAAGACCUUGCGCUGAUUGAGCGGCCGAUAUCAGAUUAGCUAGUUGGUGAGGUAAAGGCUCACCAAGGCGACGAUCUGUAGCGAGUCUGAGAGGAUGAUCCGCCACACUGGAACUGAGACACGGUCCAGACUCCUACGGGAGGCAGCAGUGGGGAAUUUUGGACAAUGGGGGCAACCCUGAUCCAGCCAUGCCGCGUGAGUGAAGAAGGCCUUCGGGUUGUAAAGCUCUUUCGGCCGGGAAGAAAUCGUAUGGGUUAAUACCCUGUGCGGAUGACGGUACCGGCAUAAGAAGCACCGGCUAACUACGUGCCAGCAGCCGCGGUAAUACGUAGGGUGCGAGCGUUAAUCGGAAUUACUGGGCGUAAAGCGUGCGCAGGCGGUUUUGUAAGACAGGCGUGAAAUCCCCGGGCUCAACCUGGGAACUGCGCUUGUGACUGCAAGGCUAGAGUAUGGCAGAGGGGGGUGGAAUUCCACGUGUAGCAGUGAAAUGCGUAGAGAUGUGGAGGAACACCAAUGGCGAAGGCAGCCCCCUGGGCCAAUACUGACGCUCAUGCACGAAAGCGUGGGUAGCAAACAGGAUUAGAUACCCUGGUAGUCCACGCCCUAAACGAUGUCAACUAGGUGUUGGGUGGGUAAAACCAUUUAGUACCGGAGCUAACGCGUGAAGUUGACCGCCUGGGGAGUACGGCCGCAAGGUUAAAACUCAAAGGAAUUGACGGGGACCCGCACAAGCGGUGGAUGAUGUGGAUUAAUUCGAUGCAACGCGAAAAACCUUACCUACCCUUGACAUGUCCAGGAGCCUGAAGAGAUUUGGGUGUGCCAGAAAGGGAACUGGAACACAGGUGCUGCAUGGCUGUCGUCAGCUCGUGUCGUGAGAUGUUGGGUUAAGUCCCGCAACGAGCGCAACCCUUGUCGUUAAUUGCCAUCAUUUAGUUGGGCACUUUAACGAGACUGCCGGUGACAAACCGGAGGAAGGUGGGGAUGACGUCAAGUCCUCAUGGCCCUUAUGGGCAGGGCUUCACACGUCAUACAAUGGUCGGUACAAAGGGUUGCCAACCCGCGAGGGGGAGCCAAUCCCAGAAAGCCGAUCGUAGUCCGGG
rnacentral:rRNA from 1 species